UGAGUAACACGUGGGCAAUCUGCCCUGCACUUCGGGAUAAGCCUGGGAAACUGGGUCUAAUACCGGAUAGGACCUUUAGACGCAUGUCUUUUGGUGGAAAGCUUUUGCGGUGUGGGAUGGGCCCGCGGCCUAUCAGCUUGUUGGUGGGGUGAUGGCCUACCAAGGCGACGACGGGUAGCCGGCCUGAGAGGGUGUCCGGCCACACUGGGACUGAGAUACGGCCCAGACUCCUACGGGAGGCAGCAGUGGGGAAUAUUGCACAAUGGGCGCAAGCCUGAUGCAGCGACGCCGCGUGGGGGAUGACGGCCUUCGGGUUGUAAACCUCUUUCACCAUCGACGAAGGUCCGGGUUUUCUCGGAUUGACGGUAGGUGGAGAAGAAGCACCGGCCAACUACGUGCCAGCAGCCGCGGUAAUACGUAGGGUGCGAGCGUUGUCCGGAAUUACUGGGCGUAAAGAGCUCGUAGGUGGUUUGUCGCGUUGUUCGUGAAAUCUCACGGCUUAACUGUGAGCGUGCGGGCGAUACGGGCAGACUAGAGUACUGCAGGGGAGACUGGAAUUCCUGGUGUAGCGGUGGAAUGCGCAGAUAUCAGGAGGAACACCGGUGGCGAAGGCGGGUCUCUGGGCAGUAACUGACGCUGAGGAGCGAAAGCGUGGGGAGCGAACAGGAUUAGAUACCCUGGUAGUCCACGCCGUAAACGGUGGGUACUAGGUGUGGGUUUCCUUCCUUGGGAUCCGUGCCGUAGCUAACGCAUUUAAGUACCCCCGCCUGGGGGAGUACGGCCGCAAGGCUAAAACUCAAAGGAAUUUGACGGGGGGCCCGCACAA
rnacentral:rRNA from 1 species